rnacentral:rRNA from 1 species
UACGAAGGGGGCGAGCGUUGCUCGGAAUCACUGGGCGUAAAGCGCACGUAGGCGGCUUUUUAAGUCAGAGGUGAAAUCCUGGAGCUCAACUCCAGAACUGCCUUUGAUACUGGAGAGCUUGAGUCCGGGAGAGGUGAGUGGAACUGCGAGUGUAGAGGUGAAAUUCGUAGAUAUUCGCAAGAACACCAGUGGCGAAGGCGGCUCACUGGCCCGGUACUGACGCUGAGGUGCGAAAGCGUGGGGAGCAAACAGG